GACGAACGCUGGCGGCGUGCCUAAUACAUGCAAGUCGAGCGAAGUUUUUCUGGUGCUUGCGCCGGAAAAACUUAGCGGCGAACGUGUGAGUAACACGUAAAGAACCUGCCUCAUAGACUGGGACAACUAUUGGAAACGAUAGCUAAUACCGGAUCACAGCAUUAACUGCAUGGUUGAUGUUUAAAAGUUGUUUUUGCUAACACUAUGAGAUGGCUUUGCGGUGCAUUAGCUAGUUUGUGGGGUAAAGGCCUACCAAGGCGACGAUGCAUAGCCGACCUGAGAGGGUGAUCGGCCACACUGGGAGUGAGACACGGCCCAGAGUCCUACGGGAGGCAGCAGUAGGGAAUCUUCCGCGAUGGGCGAAAGCCUGACGGAGCAACGCCGCGUGAGUGAAGAAGGAUUUCGGUUCGUAAAACUCUGUUGUUAGGGAAGAAUGAUUGUGUAAGAAAUAAACACAGUAGAGACGGUACCUAACCAGAAAGCCACGGCUAACUACGUG
rnacentral:rRNA from 1 species